AAAGCAACUCGAUCUUUGAAAACUGAACAGGAAACGUCAAAGAAAUUUGAAGUAAUUCACGGAAGAAAUACAGAACACGCGCAAGCGGUUCAAACAUAAAGAGUCAAUCAAAUGGAGAGUUUGAUCCUGGCUCAGGAUGAACGCUGGCGGCAUGCCUAAUACAUGCAAGUCGAACGAAGUGAAGAUAGCUUGCUAUUGGAACUUAGUGGCGAACGGGUGAGUAACACGUAGAUAACCUGCCUGUAUGACCGGGAUAACAGUUGGAAACGACUGCUAAUACCGGAUAGGCAGAGAGGAGGCAUCUCUUCUCUGUUAAAGUUGGGACACAACGCAAACAGAUGGAUCUGCGGUGCAUUAGCUAGUUGGUGAGGUAACGGCCCACCAAGGCGAUGAUGCAUAGCCGGCCUGAGAGGGCGAACGGCCACAUUGGGACUGAGACACGGCCCAAACUCCUACGGGAGGCAGCAGUAGGGAAUUUUCGGCAAUGGGGGAAACCCUGACCGAGCAAUGCCGCGUGAGUGAAGACGGCCUUCGGGUUGUAAAGCUCUGUUGUAAGGGAAGAACGGCAUAGAGAGGGAAUGCUCUAUGAGUGACGGUACCUUACCAGAAAGCCACGGCUAACUACGUGCCAGCAGCCGCGGUAAUACGUAGGUGGCAAGCGUUAUCCGGAAUUAUUGGGCGUAAAGGGUGCGUAGGCGGCGAGAUAAGUCUGAGGUAAAAGCCCGUGGCUCAACCACGGUAAGCCUUGGAAACUGUCUGGCUGGAGUGCAGGAGAGGACAAUGGAAUUCCAUGUGUAGCGGUAAAAUGCGUAGAUAUAUGGAGGAACACCAGUGGCGAAGGCGGUUGUCUGGCCUGUAACUGACGCUGAAGCACGAAAGCGUGGGGAGCAAAUAGGAUUAGAUACCCUAGUAGUCCACGCCGUAAACGAUGAGAACUAAGUGUUGGGGAAACUCAGUGCUGCAGUUAACGCAAUAAGUUCUCCGCCUGGGGAGUAUGCACGCAAGUGUGAAACUCAAAGGAAUUGACGGGGGCCCGCACAAGCGGUGGAGUAUGUGGUUUAAUUCGACGCAACGCGAAGAACCUUACCAGGCCUUGACAUGGUAUCAAAGGCCCUAGAGAUAGGGAGAUAGUUAUGGUACACACAGGUGGUGCAUGGUUGUCGUCAGCUCGUGUCGUGAGAUGUUGGGUUAAGUCCCGCAACGAGCGCAACCCUUGUUUCUAGUUACCAACAGUAAGAUGGGGACUCUAGAGAGACUGCCGGUGACAAACCGGAGGAAGGUGGGGAUGACGUCAAAUCAUCAUGCCCCUUAUGGCCUGGGCUACACACGUACUACAAUGGCGUCUACAAAGAGCAGCGAGCAGGUGACUGUGAGCGAAUCUCAUAAAGGACGUCUCAGUUCGGAUUGAAGUCUGCAACUCGACUUCAUGAAGUCGGAAUCGCUAGUAAUCGCGGAUCAGCAUGCCGCGGUGAAUACGUUCUCGGGCCUUGUACACACCGCCCGUCAAACCAUGGGAGUUGAUAAUACCCGAAGCCGGUGGCCUAACCAUUUAUGGAGGGAGCCGUCGAAGGUAGGAUCGAUGACUGGGGUUAAGUCGUAACAAGGUAUCCCUACGGGAACGUGGGGAUGGAUCACCUCCUUUCU
rnacentral:rRNA from 1 species